rnacentral:rRNA from 1 species
CCUACGGGGGGCAGCAGUGAGGAAUAUUGGUCAAUGGUCGGGAGACUGAACCAGCCAAGCCGCGUGAGGGAGGAAGGUACAGAGUAUCGUAAACCUCUUUUGUCAGGGAACAAAGGCGGGGACGUGUCCCCGGAUGAGUGUACCUGAAGAAAAAGCAUCGGCUAACUCCGUGCCAGCAGCCGCGGUAAUCCGGAGGAUGCGAGCGUUAUCCGGAUUUAUUGGGUUAAAAGGGUGCGCAGGCGGUCUGUUAAGUCAGCGGUCAAAGCCCGGGGCUCAACCCCGGCCCGCCGUUGAAACGGGCAGGCUCGAGUUGGAGAGAAGUAUGCGGAAUGCGCGGUGUAGCGGUGAAAUGCAUAGAUAUCGCGCAGAACUCCGAUUGCGAAGGCAGCAUGCCGGAUCCACACUGACGCUGAGGCACGAAAGCGUGGGUAUCGAACAGGAUUAGAUACCCCUGUAGUC